GUGAAGGUGGAUUAUGGAGAUGUGUCCGUCAGGAAGGCCCUGAGGGAAAGCCUCAAGUGCAAACCCUUCUCCUGGUACCUGGAGAACAUCUACCCCGACUCCCAGAUCCCGCGGCGCUACUACUCCCUGGGAGAGAUCAGGAACGUUGAAACCAACCAGUGUUUGGACAACAUGGGCCGCAAGGAAAACGAGAAAGUGGGAUUUUUCAACUGCCAUGGAAUGGGAGGAAAUCAGGUGUUUUCCUACACUGCCGACAAGGAGAUCCGCACGGACGACCUGUGCCUGGACGUGUCGCGGCUCAACGGGCCCGUCCUCAUGCUCAAGUGCCACCACAUGAGGGGCAACCAGCUCUGGGAGUACGACGCCGAGGUACCGGGGGGUCGGGGACAGCCCCUGAGGGAUGGGGGUGUCCUUGGCAGAAUC